AUUCAGCUGACGAGUCACAAAUAGGACGAAAUGUACGUCCUGGAU
rnacentral:hammerhead_ribozyme from 1 species